CCCUUAGAUGUUCUGGGCCGCACGCGCGCUACACUGUUCGACGCAGCGAGUCUUAACCUUGACCGAAAGGUUUGGGUAAUCUUCAGCAAAGUCGAACGUGAUGGGGAUCGAUCAUUGCAAUUAUUGAUCGUGAACGAGGAAUUCCUAGUAAGUGCAAGUCAUCAGCUUGCGCUGAUUACGUCCCUGCCCUUUGUACACACCGCCCGUCGCUACUACCGAUUGAAUGGUUUAGUGAGAUCUCUGGAUUGACGCUGGCUAGGGGGCGACCCUUGGCCAGACUGUUGAGAAACUGCUCAAACUUGAUCAUUUAGAGGAAGGUGAAGUCGUAACA
rnacentral:rRNA from 1 species